rnacentral:lncRNA from 1 species
AGCCUCCCACGCCCGUUUCUCUUCCCAGCGGUCCCACAACAUCCGCCUCUUCUCCCAUCCGUAUCCAGCUCCACGAUCAAGCCUCCGCGAUCCAUCCCAGCAACUCCUUCCGUUCCAGCACCCGGCCACGAUCAGCCGUCCCGAGCGUUCCUCCCUGCAUCGCGUCCCCCUCUUGGCCCAAAGAAGGAAGACCACAGCGCCCCUCCUCCGAGUUCCAGCUCCAUUUCGUCGAUCCCGCGGCCCCGAGUCCGUGAUCAACGUCCCAGCCGCUCGUGAAGCACCUCAUCUCGCCGUCCAUGACACCUCCAAGCCUUCCUCCACGGCAGAUCCACAUCAUCCUCCCAGAUUUCCAGC